rnacentral:lncRNA from 1 species
UGCAACAACCAAGAAGAGGGAAAAUACUCAUUAGAAUCCCAAUUUAGCCUCGAUCACCAUGGCCUCAAUGCAAUGCAUCAAACCAGAUGAGAAGGCAUGCGACCAAGAACAAGAACGAAUGGUCCAUGUCCAAACAGAGCAAAGCCUUUCCCAUGAGAAGGUCGAUUCUGUAACUCAAUGCAAUUGCCAAACCAAUGGCCCCGGCAGCCAAGCUCAGGUCGACCAGAAAAAGAACCAUGAGAAGAACGAGAAGAAAAUGAAGGACAAGAAAGGAAAGAAGGAGAAGGAGAAGGAGAAGAAGGAGAAGAAGGGAAAGAAGGAAAAUGACAAGAAGAAAGAAAAGAGCGGGGACAAGAAGAAGUAGAAGAAGCAUGACAGCAGCAGCAUUAUUGAAAGUGAUUAGAGAUGCUGCGAAAUGAAGGCAAGUGUUGUUGGUGUCUUACGAUGCUUUUUCUUGCAUUUCAGAAUAACAGCGUCUUAGAAUCUAAAACUUUUAAUAUCGUUGAUAUUUUCAGCAAUCUGAAACCUUUUUUUCUUAACCUGUUCAAUGCAUGCCGAUGCAGGAGGAGCGUUCAGAAAUAAAGAUGGAUACAAUUCCUGUCAACACAAUAAUAAACAGAUACAUAAAGGAAAAAAGAAGAAGAAAAGAUGAUAUAAAAUAAGACCAGCAGCAUACUGCACUUGCAUGACUUGCUGUUGUUCGUCUUAUCAAUUUUUACUACUCUUUCAUGUUGUUAAGAUACAUCGAGUUGUUGCAGAAAAAGAUAUUUGGAAAUACAUGCUAUUGAAAAUGCUUGUGAAAAAUUGCUACAGUGAUAUAAAUAGAUUUU